GUGUUAGCCGACGUCAUCAUGACGAACCCAUUGUAAGAGGGGUCAAAUAAUAGUUGGGAUGGAGUCAGAAAAAGUGAAAUAGUAGAAUGCAGCUGUUGUAUAUCUUAGUGGGCAAUAUUUCCACUUACGAGGGAAUAGCAAUAUAACAAUUUAGUUGUUAAAACUUAAAUGCUGAGUUAUUUCGAAUUUAUUUUCAUAUUUCAAUGUUUUUAUAGAACAAAUAACCCUUCUGUGAGUUUUGGCUUUUGUUCACGUAACUACGAGGUUAUCCAAAAGCUUCAAUAAAUGACAUGUAGAAAAUACUAUGAAUAAAAGUGUCAAAGAAAUCGAUGGAACGUUUGAAUUUGUCUAUGGAGGUGAUAUAGUGACUAGUAAGUAAGUGAUAAAAGCGAUUUAAAAGUAACAAAGAAUCAGUUAAGAACGAGGAAUAGUCGGAAUAUACCUAGAGGGCAAAAAUAUGUAAUAAAUUGACAAAUCUGUUUUCUACACUGGCAAUUGGGGAAAUGAAACUGUGAAAUUAGGGUGAAUCAAUUUUAAAUUUUUACAUAGACUGAUUAACCAUAUAUAUCAAGUUACUCUUAUGGAUUUUUUUAUACAACAGAUAUAUAUUUCAUCGUCAUUAUAAUACUGGUUUCAUUAGACUAUUUAAAUACAUUGUGUGUUUAGAUCUGACGUGACUUCUUAAAGUAUCGAUCCGACUGUAUGUCGCCGGACAAUAAGGACAGAACGAUCUUUGCGUUGUGUGGGAAUGAAAGUGAUGCCAUCUAUUAGUGACUUCUUUACCGCACGAUUUACAUCGCCACAAGAGUAUAUUGGUUGACGAUGGUUCAAACAUUUCCACGUAGGAUAAAGUCGAACCGCAAUUUGAAUCUGAAAACAAAUAUUUAAAAUGAAAUUUGAAAAAUAUAAUUUCACUUUUUCUAUCGCCAUCUGUACGAUACUAAGGCACGGCUAUAGUAAAGAAUGUAUUAAAAAUUCGAUAAAAAUUGAUACCGUUGUUAUUCUUGAAGUCGGUUUUGUGUUUACGUCACGUGUCGAUAUCCAUUUACCAAACCAAAGAAUACAGAAGUUCAUAAAUACGAUAUGAGCGAUCGUUCACGCAUAAUUCAACAAUAUUUGAAGAUUAUUUUUCUAAUAUUUAAAAUUAUUUAAAAAAAACUUUAUUAAACUAUGUAUAUAAUU